UUUUUUGCCUUUUCUAGGGCUGUUCCUGCAUCAUAUGGAGAUUCCCAGGUGAGGGGUAGAAUGGGAGCUGUAGCCGCCGGCCUACACCACAGCCACAGCAACUCGGGAUCCGAGCCGCGUCUGCGACCUACCCCGCAGCUCAUGGCAACGCCAGAUCCUUAACCCACUGAGCAAAGCCAGGGAUCGAACCCGCAACCUCAUGGUUCCUCAUCGGAUUCGUUAACCACUGCGCCACGAUGAGAACUCCCUACAGGGCCUUUUUAAAAAUUACCUCCAUGAUUGGGAAGUGCAGAGCUGAAGGCUGGUGGACCCCAGAAGCCACCUCCCAACUCGAAUCUGCAUCCCUCCCCCCCAGCCUGGAGUCACCGCAGAUGCUCCCGCUCAGCCCUCUAAGCCCCUCCCUCCAGCUCUGAGAGGAGCGUCCUGAGCGGGCUUCUUGUGGUCCCCACCCCCUCCACCUGCACUGCCAGCUGGAGACUCCCUUUGCCCCCAUCCUGCCCCAGUAACUCCGCCUCCACCCCUGCCCUCCCCCCACUUCCUCCCGGUCCUUCCCUCCCAGGAGCAUGGCCUGCCCCCUCCUCCACUUCCUUCUGGGGCUUUUGCUACUCAUUCAUAUUCUGUCCUCGGUUGAGAUGUAACAAGCAGAAAGUUUUUCCCCACUCAUAACUGUUUAUCUUGGGACUCUGGCAGUGAGACCCAGUUGGCACCAGCUAAAGAUAAAUGAGCAGCGACUGAUGGGUUACCUAACUCAAAAGCCCCGAGUGAAGCUUCAGGUGUGACUGGAUCCUGGGCUCCAAGACCCCAAGAUUUUGUCUUUCUCCGUCUUAAAACCCUCUCUGCUCACUUCACUUCUGUGGCUUUGUUGUCAAGCAAGCUCUGCCUGUGUGAUGGCAACAGGGCUGCCCACACUUGCGGGCUUGUCUAGAACGGUAUGCCUGUGGCCUCAGCAAGCGAGAGACAUCUGGGCUGGUGCAGGGUCCUCUGCGAUCUCUGACAAAGCACUCGGAUGUCACACACGUACAUGGAGAUGUCACACACACACAAAGUGCCCCCCGCGUGGGUGGCACACAGUCGCACAUUGCAUGCUCACCUUACGCAGACAUGACCAUGUGCAUACGGAAAAAUCACACACCCUGGGACCCUCCCCACUUAGAUAUUAUACUACACUCAUGUAAAUGCCACCACCGAGGGCUAAUUCAGAUUCCAUGUAUGCGCCACUGUUUCACACACCUCUUACGUAAAGCUGGGCUCUGAGCCUGAUGUGCAUCAGAAUGAAAUGAAAUAGUACCGAGACUUUGUAAGGAUUACAUACAUUAAAUUAAAAAACAAGCAAAACUCUGCCUAUGCUCCAAAGGCACAGAGUGAGAGCAAAUGUCAUAAUAUGUCCACCUGACAUAAAGGACUGAAUGUCUGGAAUGUAUAAGCACCCUUAAAAAUCAAUACUGGAGUUCCCAUCAUAGCUCAGCAGUUAAUGAACCUGACUAGCAUCCAUGAGGACAUGGGUUUGAUCCCUGGCCUCGCUCAGUGGGUUAAGGAUCCAGCGUUGCUGUGAGCUGUGGUGUAGGUGGUAGAUGCAGCUCAGAUCCCUUGUUGCUGUGGCUGUGGUGGAGGCUGGCAGCUACAGCUGCGAUUCAACCCCUAGCCUGGGAACUUCCAUAUGCCAUGGGUUCGGCCCUAAAAAAAUAAAAAAUAAAGAUAAAAUGGGUCGUGAUUGAAUACACAUUAUUCACAUUUUGCCUCAAGGAAGUCAACAGUAAGAAAGCAAAUAACCCACUUUUCAGAACAGGCAAAUGAUUUAGACAGAUGCUUAAAUAAAGUUGAUAUACAGGGAAUUUUCUGAUGGCCCUGUGGGUUAAGGAUUCAGUGCUGUCGCUCCUGUGGUGCAGGUCUGGUCCCUGGCCCAGGAAUUUCUGCAUGCCACUAGCAUGGAAAGAAAAAAAAAGACCUUCAAGUUGGGGGGAGGGGGUAACACGAAAAGAUGGCCUAGAUCAUUAGUCUUCAGAGGAAUAUGAAUUAAAGCAACCCUGCCGUAUCACUAAAUACGCAUGAAGAUGGCUGAAGCUGACAGUGACGAGAGCAAAUGCUUACGGGGUUGUGGAGAACCCUGGACCAGCUCGCUUUGCUGGUGGAGAUCUGAGAUGCCACAGCUGCUCUGGAAAACAGCUUGGCAGCUUCUUAUAAAGUUAAACAUACACCCCCCAUAAGACCCUGCCGUCCCACUCCCAGCCCCGGGUGGGAAGAGAGUGAGGGAACAAGUAUGGACCCAGGAGGAGGGUGAGGAGGCGGGCACAGGCCAGACUUCAGAUCACAGAAAAGCCAGAACAGGGGUUCCUGUUUUGUUUGGUUUUGGUUUUGGUUUGGUUUUGGCCACAGCCUUGCCUGCAGCAUUUGGAAAUUCCCCGGCCCCGGAUAAAACUUAGGCCACAGCAGUGACACCAGAUCCUUAACCUGCUGAGCUCCUUGGGGGAACUCCAGGAGCACCUGUUGACUCAGCCUUUGAACCUGAGAAGGCAAUCAGCAUGGUGCAUCAGUUAGAACACAUCUGCAUACAAUGGAAAGCUAAAUAACAGUGGUUUAUGUAAAAGAGAAGUUUAUUUCUCUCUCUUAUAUGGCAACUUCACAGGGUCCCAGGGACUCAGGGACUGUUAUUAGCUUACCACUCCACCAUUCCUAGGCCUCAGUCUUCACCCUCAUGAUCCAAAAUGACUGCUGGAGCUCCAGCCAUUACAACUGCAUUCCAGACAUGUGGCUGGAGGACAAGUCCAAGGAACAACCUUUCUUUUAAGGAGACUUCCUGGAAGUCUCAACACUUACAUCUUGUCCAUGUUUAGCCCCAUGGCCACACCAAACAGCACAGGAAAUGCUGGGAAAUGAAAUGCCUUGCUGAAUUCAUUGCUGCCCCCAGAGAGUAUUGGCAGUGGUUCUUAAACUUGAGCAGCUGUCCUAAUCAACUGGAGGGAUUGUUAAAACAAAGUGCUGGGCCCAAGCCCAGAGUUUCUGACUCAGUAAGGCUGUGGUGGAAUCUGAGAAUCUGUAUUAUUAUUAUUUUUUUCCCUAGGGCUGCACUUGCAGCAUACAGAGGUUCCCAGGCUAGGGGUCGAAUCGGAGCUGCAGCUGCCAGCCUACACCACAGCCACAGCCACACAGGAUUCAAGCCAUGUCUGCGAGCUACACCACAGCUCACGGCAACACCGGAUCCUUAACCCAAUGAGCAAGGCCAGGGAUCGAACCCGCAAGCUCAUGGUUCCUAGUCAGAUUCAUUUCCACUGCACUACAAUGGGAACUCCUGGGAAUGUGUAUUUCUAACAGGUGGCACAGGUACUGAUGCUGCUGUGCCAUCCCCAUCGCAGGGGGGCAGCGACCGGAAACACAUCCCUUGAAGGACCUCCCCAACUGUUCCCCCAACACCGCCCACCUCACAGAGGAAGAAGAGCUGCCCUACGGCUCAGCAACACUGACUCCAGCAGGUGCAGGGCUGGCUUUGCUGCGGAUGAUUCCCGCCCGCCGUUCCAUGGUUGGGGGACCCUGCCCCAGGCGUCAGGUGGGCGUGGGGCAGAAGGAAAGUACACGGGUGAGAAGGAGACCCUCAGAUACCCCCUGGAGCACAGCACGCCCCACAACUGGGACCACGCGGGCAAGGCCUGGUACCACACCUACCAGGAGCAGCGUGUGGCCGGAGGACCCACAGGGAAUAGCGCGUGGGUGGAGGACCACCGGGUGAUGCUGGCUGCGUCUCCAGCCCACCCCCAAGGCAGCCCUAAGAGGAUGACCCAGAUCCUGUUCCAGGCCUUCAACCCUCUGGCCAUAUGAGUGGCCAGCCAGGCCUCGCUGUCCCUGGGUGAUGCCCCUGGCCACACCUCUGGUGUUGACAUGGUCUCUGGGGGUAGGUCAGCCACCUGCUGCCCAGCUAUGCGGGUCACGCCCUGCCCACCCCUCCUGCAUCAGGACCUGGCUACUGGGGACCUCACCCAGCAUGGCAACAGCUUCACCACCGCGGCUGAGCAGGAAUCAUGCCUGACACCAAGGAGCAGUGCUGCUCCGUGGCCCUGGCCUUGGCGUAGGAGAUGGCCACCGCCGUGUCCUCCCGCUCCCUGUGCAGAGCUACGAGCUGCCGCACGGUCAGGCGCUCACUAUCCACCGGGAGCGGGUCCCUGUGGCAUCCACCAGGCCGUCUGCUGCUCGGUAGUGUCCACCUCUGGAGGGACCUGCCCACCUGCACGGGGCUGUCUGGUGGGACCACCACGUACCCGCGCGCCAGGAACAGGAUGCAGGGGGAGCGAGGGCCGAGGCCCCCAGGGAGACCAUCACGAUCCCCCCAGUUCGAACUCGGUACUCGGUGGGGUCAGGCUGCGUCCUGGCUUUGCUGUCCACCCUCCGCGGAUGCGGAUCGGCAGGCGGGAGUCUGACCUGUCAGGCCACGCACCAGCCCCCGCAAAUGCUUCUAAACGGACGGAGCCAGGAUGGGCUGCAUCUGCUGCACCAGCUAGUCCAGAACAUGAACUUGUCCUUGCAGACUGCACACCUCAGCCAGCCUCCUGAGGCUGGGUAAGCCUUUGAAAGGAAAUUUGUCCUCCAAGCCUGUGUCGGGGGUUGUAGAACUUGUCACUGAUCUUGACCUUGUGUUCAAGUUAGCUCUUCCCUUGGUGCGUGUUUAACGCCCCGUGCACAUCUUUGAUCUACUUACACGUGGCUCCGUCACCUUGUGGCUGAGGUGAGAACAUGUUUAGGGAUGAGAAUCCUUUUGGCGGCAUGAGAAUCUGGGUCUCUCGAUCUGUGCAAGCUCCUAUUCUAGGAUUUCUCUCGAGGCCAGGAAGGAUCCUGAAUCAGUUGCCACUCCCGUCUUGUCCGCCUGGUGGGGUUGAGGAGGCGGCAGCCCUGCGACCCAACUUCCUUUCUUCCCUGGAGGUUUCCUGCCGCAACAUCAUGGGUUGCGACUUGCCUUGAGCUGGAAAUCGGUUUGCAUUUACGCCUGUCAAUGGAUUCAUCCUUUUACUUUAUGGAAUGGUGCUGUGUGCAAUUCUCGAUUCUUUGCGAGACGACAAGAAACUGGUGGGCGAACAUGAGGACCCAGCCUUGCAGGAGGAAAUGUCUGCAGAACUGAGAGAACCAAAACGAGGAAAACCAAGCAAACAUACAAAACACCGUCUUUCAAGUCUUUCCCCCUCGGACGGUCCCUCCCUGUCCCCCGUUGACUAUAUGAAAAGGCACCCACAUGUCUCAGAACAUAUAACUGUUUGCUGUAAAAUAAAAUUAGAAAACAUGUUUAUGGUUUUGCUUCUGAAAUCAUUUGGCGCAGGUGGUUCACUCAGUUCUGACGGGCGGUGGUUUCGAAGCAACCAUCGUUCAUCCUCGGGGGGAAUUCUUGCAAAGUGAGAAAAUCUAAGCCCCAUGUUUUCCACUGGCCUGAAAGUGUUGUCCACAUGAGAGUUUAAAAAAUGAAGAAAUUGACUAAAAUGUUACAUUUUGUAGGCAUUUAAUUAAGCAGCUAUUAAUAUGAGUUUUGCAGGUUAAAAAAAAUUGGGGGUUGUUAUAGAACUUUUUUCGAUCUCAAAUAUAAAUAAAGGCCCUUGCAACAGUCAUAAGUCCUGGACGUGGUGCCAAAAGCACUUGCCAGACAAAGUGGGAGCGCUUCCUGGAAGAGGGUGUGGACUCCGCAGAGGCUAGUUCACCCAUAAAUCACUGCAGGGCUGUCCCAUGCGAGAGGGCAGCUGGCCCCGCUCACGGCUGAGGCUGGAGCUGGGGCCAAGGCAGAGGCUAAAGGUUUUCUCUCAGCCUCAGGAAGCUUGUCAGAGUUGCCGACAGAAGGCCUGCCUGUCUCUGAGGCACCACCAGGUCAGGAGCGCCUGGGUUCUGCUGCAGUAACAAAAGAGCCCGGCUUCUCCCAACAAAGUCCUUUCACACACUCUGUCCAUCAUCGGACAACUGGGAGCACAAAGCCUCCUCACCCACAUCACCUACCCUCAAUGCCCCAGCCCCGGGGCAGCCCCUGCGUGGGACACUGCCCCUAACACAGCAGAGGGGAGAGAGAGAACGCUUGCUAGUUAUGUUUUAAGCAGUAAAGCUUUGGAGGUCCCCUUAUGGCUCAGUGGGUUAAGAACCUAACUAGUAUCCAUGAGGAUGUGGGUUCAAUCCCUGGCCUCGCUCAGUGGGUUAAGGAUCCGGCAUUGCCUUGAGCUGACAUUGCCCAGAGCCUGCCAGUAGUUAAAGUGGUAAAAAUAGGUUUUACGCAGGAACUACUGCAAUAGGGGAAAAGGGGCCUCGUCGUAAGACCGGGCUCAACUCUGAGGAGGAGGAAGCUAAACAUGGGGAUACAACAAGGGUGGUGCUCGAUGCGUGGAAAAUUAUUAAGAGGAAACAUUAGGGUCAGGGGGAAUUCUGGCUAAACAAGGUUUGGCCGAAGGCAGGCCGGAGCGGUCGGGCGUCUCUUAGAGGCAGUGGAGGAGGAGGAAUUUGGGCGGAUACACAGGGUGAUCAGAUAGCAAGGGUGGGAAAUUCUGGCCAAACUGACUUAGCAGGAUUCUUGCUGAAACUGGGCUCUUGGAGGACAAGCUAAAGCACGGAGCCAGCGAGGCUCGGGGGAGUCCGAGUAAAGUUUGGUUAAGGAGCAAAUCUUGGCCAACAAUCUUCCAUUGGCUCUUUUAAACACCAGCGAAAAAGAAUAUUUUGGGGAAAGUUGAGGGAACUUGCAAACAGACUGGAUGUGAGAAGCUCUUGCAGAAUUUAAAGUUUUCUGGCAUAUGAUAAUGCCUUUUCAGUUGGGUGGGAUAGCCGUAUUUUUCAGAGGUGCAUGCCUAAGUGUUUAAAGGUGAGAAGUCACAAGAGACCACAGCGCUGGGUUUUGGGUAAGACUGAGAGUGAAACUCUCAAUACCCAACGCUCAGCCAGCGCCUCGCCGACGUAGAGAGGCUGUGGAACAGGAAGCCGCAGCAGUGCUGCAGAGGACACAGAGUACUCCCCACACAGCUCUCCACGGCUCUGAUCACUGCCCGCAGGGCACGUUCUGGUCGCUGCAACUUCAGCAAAGAGGAGCCACUGGCUCCAGGGUUCCCUGCCAGCUUCGUGAGGUUAGGAGCCACUUGCAUGCUUCAGUGAAGCUACAGCCCAGGAGUUCCCAUUGUGGCUCAGUGGAAAGAAUCCAUGAGGAUGCGGUUUGAUCCCUGGCCUCGCUCAGUGGGUAGGGGAUCCGGUGUUGCCGUGAGCUGUGGUGUAGGCCGAAGAUGUGGCCCGGAUCCCACGUUGUUGUGGCUGUGGUGUAGGCUGGAGGCCACAGCUCCUAUUUGACUCUUAGCCUGGGAACUUCCAUAUGCCCUGGGUCCGGCCCUAAAAAGCCAAAAAAAAAAAAAAAAAAGCUACAGUCCACACAUUUUAGGUCAUGUCAAAAUAACCCCAGCAGCCAAGGACACUGAGCCGAGGGGCGGCUGUGGGUCAGUUUAACAGCACAUACAGAUCCUGCAGGAGCCACCUCAGUGCGGACACACAAAACAAAGUCAGUUCUUGAGGCUGGAGGGGGGAUUCACAGUUCUGCUGCGGAACCUCCCCCUCUAGUCAUGAUGUCUGCAAAUGAGUAGCUUAACAAACCGUUAAUGUAAAUAAGUCCAAAGGCUAACACUUGUUGAACCUAGGUAGUGCGUUUAUCAAACCAUGGGGUUGGAAACUUUGAUGACAGGAAUCGAAAGAUAGAUAUAAAAUCUAAAGUGGAGACGUUCACCUCUCGCUUUCAUUUCCUGCGUGGUUUACUGGUGACUUAAUUUUGCCCGUUUAAAGCUCCCUGAUCUCAAGUCACAGCAAAAAUCUCUCCUCUUUCCUGCAGCACUACCCUCACCCCUGAGGUCGCCAUCACUCCCUCCAAUCCAAGGGCUCAUCGUUCUGGAAUCACGGGGCAUCACACUCCUUCUGUUUCCUUCUUUCCGUGGCACAGCACUGGGGUCGGGUGGGGUGGGGGGAAAUUGCCUUACCGCCAGAAAAGGAAACUUUCCCACGCAACCGAGUAGUCCUAGAUUCCACGUCAGGCAGGCGUGGACCCAGCGAUCCAAGCAUGUGGCCGGGCACUGCUCCGGCUCCGUCACGUGGCUGUUGCUCCCCUUUGCAGACAGUGACCAGGU
rnacentral:lncRNA from 1 species